rnacentral:rRNA from 1 species
GACGAACGCUGGCGGCGUGCUUAACACAUGCAAGUCGAACGGAAAGGCCCUGCUUUUGUGGGGUGCUCGAGUGGCGAACGGGUGAGUAACACGUGAGUAACCUGCCCUUGACUUUGGGAUAACUUCAGGAAACUGGGGCUAAUACCGGAUAGGAGCUCCUGCUGCAUGGUGGGGGUUGGAAAGUUUCGGCGGUUGGGGAUGGACUCGCGGCUUAUCAGCUUGUUGGUGGGGUAGUGGCUUACCAAGGCUUUGACGGGUAGCCGGCCUGAGAGGGUGAACGGCCACAUUGGGACUGAGAGACGGCGCAGACUCCUACGGGAGGCAGCAGUGGGGAAUAUUGCACAAUGGGCGGAAGCCUGAUGCAGCAACGCCGCGUGCGGGAUGACGGCCUUCGGGUUGUAAACCGCUUUCGCCUGUGACGAAGCGUGAGUGACGGUAAUGGGUAAAGAAGCACCGGCUAACUACGUG